GCAGAUAUAGUUUAUUGGUAGAACUCCGGCUUCCCAAGCCGGAAAGACGGGUUCGAUUCCCGUUGUCUGCUCCA
rnacentral:tRNA from 1 species